CCUACGGGGGGCAGCAGUAGGGAGUUUUCGGCAAUGGGGGAAACCCUGACCGAGCAACGCCGCGUGAACGAUGAAGGUCUUCGGAUUGUAAAGUUCUGUUGUAAGGGAGUAAUGGUUUUGAGAGUGGAAUGCUCAAGACUUGAAAGUACCUUACCAGAAAGCCACGGCUAACUACGUGCCAGCAGCCGCGGUAAUACGUAGGUGGCAAGCGUUAUCCGGAAUUAUUGGGCGUAAAGAGUGAGCAGGCGGUCGUUUAAGUCUGAAGUCAAAUGCUG
rnacentral:rRNA from 1 species